rnacentral:rRNA from 1 species
ACUGCGGCAGGCUUAACACAUGCAAGUCGAACGGUCCUAGCAAUACAGCAGUGGCAGACGGGUGAGUAACACGUGGGAACCUUCCUAGGGGUACGGAACAACUCAGGGAACCUUGAGCUAAUACUAGUAUACGUCCGUGAGGAGAAACAUUUAUCGCCCUUAGACGGGCCCGCGUCGGAUUAGCUAGUUGGUGGGGUAACGGCCUACCAAGGCGACGAUCCGUAGCUGAUCUUAGAGGAUGAUCAGCCACACUGGGACUGAGACACGGCCCAGACUCCUACGGGAGGCAGCAGUGGGGAAUCUUGGACAAUGGGCGCAAGCCUGAUCCAGCCAUGCCGCGUGAGUGAAGAAGGUCUUCGGAUUGUAAAGCUCUUUUACCAGGGACGAUAAUGACGGUACCUGGAGAGA